rnacentral:lncRNA from 1 species
GUGAUCCUCAUGCCUCAGCCUCCUGAGUAACUGGGAUUACAGCUUCUAGAGGCUACCCACAUUCCUGGGCUAAUGGCCCCUUCCUACAUCUUCAAAGCCAGCAGUGGUGGGCUGAGUCUUUCUCCUGGUAUCAUCUCUUCAUUCUCUAUCUCCCUCUCCCAAUUUUAAGGACCUCUGUGAUUAUAUUGGGCACCUGGAUAUUGCAGGAUACGCUCUCUAUUUUAAGGCUAUGCUCCGUAAAGAGAGUGCCUCCUCUAGAAUCACAAGACCUAAGCAUGAAUCUUCCUUUGAAGGAUAAAAUGGAAGGAAAAAAACUGGAUGAGGAAAAGAAGAGUGGGGAAUAGAAAGAGAGAGAGAGAGAAAGAUGGAUAAAUUUUUAAAGUUACUAUAAUAAAAAUCUUCUACAACGAAACUAUAAUUGUUGAUCAGCAAAUGUGAACUAAUCCUCCUCCU